CUACAGAUGACUUUGCAGCUCAAGAUUCCUUUUCGCCCAAGACAUUUUAAGUUGCUUAGGGUCUACUGGCAGGUCAGAACCAAUGAUUUAAUGACUGGCCACAUUUCAAGAGGGACUGGGAGAUGUUUGCACGGCUCUGUGUGUGUGCUCCGGAGCAUCCGGACCCCUGCAGCAGACCAAAGGUGCGCCUGGUGCUGAGCAGCAGUGAUGGAGGAUCACGCGCUUCCUCUCGCAUUGGCUUCCAUCACCUCAGCGCUUCAGAUUGCUUUUAUUAUCUCCUGCUUCUGAGAAGGAAAGAAGGACCUUGUCACCCAGUGGUAUGCCUUGUAGAAGACAGGACACACAAGAAAGGCAGGACAUGCAAGAAAAGGACAAAAGGACAAAAUCAACAGCUGCAGAGAAGGUUUCACACAUACAGGGUUCUGUUCAAAGCAGGUAAACAGUCCCUUUCUCUUUCUUGUGAGCUAUUCUGAUUUUAUAUUCCACCCUCUGCCAAAAUACUUGCCCUUGGUGUU